AACUCUUUAGUAUAAAUAAUGUAUAUUUGGUUUCCAACCAAGAGGUCUAAGUUAGAGGGGUUA
rnacentral:tRNA from 1 species